rnacentral:rRNA from 1 species
CCGUCGUGAAGAGGGAAACAACCCAGACCGCCAGCUAAGGUCCCAAAGUCAUGGUUAAGUGGGAAACGAUGUGGGAAGGCCCAGACAGCCAGGAUGUUGGCUUAGAAGCAGCCAUCAUUUAAAGAAAGCGUAAUAGCUCACUGGUCGAGUCGGCCUGCGCGGAAGAUGUAACGGGGCUAAACCAUGCACCGAAGCUGCGGCAGCGACACUUUAGUGUUGUUGGGUAGGGGAGCGUUCUGUAAGCCGUUGAAGGUGUCCUGUGAGGGGUGCUGGAGGUAUCAGAAGUGCGAAUGCUGACAUAAGUAACGAUAAAGCGGGUGAAAAGCCCGCUCGCCGGAAGACCAAGGGUUCCUGUCCAACGUUAAUCGGGGCAGGGUGAGUCGACCCCUAAGGCGAGGCCGAAAGGCGUAGUCGAUGGGAAACGGGUUAAUAUUCCCGUACUUGGUGUUACUGCGAAGGGGGGACGGAGAAGGCUAUGUUGGCCGGGCGACGGUUGUCCCGGUUUAAGCGUGUAGGUGUGUGUUCCAGGCAAAUCCGGUUCACUUUAACACUGAGGCGUGAUGACGAGGCACCACGGUGCUGAAGCAACAAAUGCCCUGCUUCCAGGAAAAGCCUCUAAGCAUCAGGUAACAUCAAAUCGUACCCCAAACCGACACAGGUGGUCAGGUAGAGAAUACCAAGGCGCUUGAGAGAACUCGGGUGAAGGAACUAGGCAAAAUGGUGCCGUAACUUCGGGAGAAGGCACGCUGACACGUAGGUGAAGUGAUUUACUCACGGAGCUGAAGUCAGUCGAAGAUACCAGCUGGCUGCAACUGUUUAUUAAAAACACAGCACUGUGCAAACACGAAAGUGGACGUAUACGGUGUGACGCCUGCCCGGUGCCGGAAGGUUAAUUGAUGGGGUCAGCGCAAGCGAAGCUCCUGAUCGAAGCCCCGGUAAACGGCGGCCGUAACUAUAACGGUCCUAAGGUAGCGAAAUUCCUUGUCGGGUAAGUUCCGACCUGCACGAAUGGCGUAAUGAUGGCCAGGCUGUCUCCACCCGAGACUCAGUGAAAUUGAACUCGCUGUGAAGAUGCAGUGUACCCGCGGCAAGACGGAAAGACCCCGUGAACCUUUACUAUAGCUUGACACUGAACAUUGAGCCUUGAUGUGUAGGAUAGGUGGGAGGCUUUGAAGCGUGGACGCCAGUCUGCGUGGAGCCGACCUUGAAAUACCACCCUUUAAUGUUUGAUGUUCUAACGUGGACCCGUAAUCCGGGUUGCGGACAGUGUCUGGUGGGUAGUUUGACUGGGGCGGUCUCCUCCUAAAGAGUAACGGAGGAGCACGAAGGUUGGCUAAUCCUGGUCGGACAUCAGGAGGUUAGUGCAAUGGCAUAAGCCAGCUUGACUGCGAGCGUGACGGCGCGAGCAGGUGCGAAAGCAGGUCAUAGUGAUCCGGUGGUUCUGAAUGGAAGGGCCAUCGCUCAACGGAUAAAAGGUACUCCGGGGAUAACAGGCUGAUACCGCCCAAGAGUUCAUAUCGACGGCGGUGUUUGGCACCUCGAUGUCGGCUCAUCACAUCCUGGGGCUGAAGUAGGUCCCAAGGGUAUGGCUGUUCGCCAUUUAAAGUGGUACGCGAGCUGGGUUUAGAACGUCGUGAGACAGUUCGGUCCCUAUCUGCCGUGGGCGCUGGAAGAUUGAGGGGGGCUGCUCCUAGUACGAGAGGACCGGAGUGGACGCAUCACUGGUGUUCGGGUUGUCAUGCCAAUGGCACUGCCCGGUAGCUAAAUGCGGAAAAGAUAAGUGCUGAAAGCAUCUAAGCACGAAACUUGCCCCGAGAUGAGUCUUCCCUGAGACUUUGAGUCUCCUGAAGGAACGUUAAAGACGAUGACGUUGAUAGGCCGGGUGUGUAAGCGCAGCGAUGCGUUGAGCUAACCGGUACUAAUGAACCGUGAGGCUUAACCUUACAACGCCGAAG